rnacentral:rRNA from 1 species
UACGUAGGUGGCAAGCGUUGUUCGGAUUUAUGGGGCGUAAAGGGCGCGUAGGCGGUUUCGUAAGUCCCGUGUGAAAGCCCCCGGCUCAACUGGGGAAUUGCACGGGAAACUGCGAGGCUUGAGUUCGGGAGAGGGAAGCGGAAUUCCGGGUGUAGCGGUGAAAUGCGUAGAUAUCCGGAGGAACACCGGUGGCGAAGGCGGCUUCCUGGACCGACACUGACGCUGAGGCGCGAAAGCUAGGGGAGCAAACAGG